GCAUCAGGUAGGAUAAUCCUUACCUGUUCCUCCUCUUGGAGGGCAGAAUAAAUGUGAUUUGAUACUUUAGAGGUGGGAAAGCUCCCUCACAAUCUUAG
ensembl:snoRNA U8 U8 small nucleolar RNA